AAUAAAUGAUUUCAGCAUUAACCCAAGAAGCUAGAAAGUGAAUAGCAAAAGAACCAUAUGAAAAGAGAAAGGAAAUAGGUAAAUGUAGAAAUUAAUGAAUUAAAAAUAGUAGAAUUGUUAAAUAUAAUCUGGUUCCUGAAAAAGACCAAUAAAAUAAGCAAACCUCUGGCAAAGGUAAUAAAGAAGACAUACUUAAAUCUACAAAUAAUAAUGGGAAUAUAAUAGUAUACUGAGGAAAUUUUUAUUUUAAUUCUGGGCUUACUCUGUGCUAAUAAAUUGAACAUCUUGAUGGAAUGGAUCAUUUUAUAGGCAAAUAUAAAUUAUCAAAAUUGACUGAAGAAGAAAGCCUGAAUAGACCAAUUACCAUGGAAGAAAUUAAAAGUUAUCAAAGAACUGUCCCUUCACAAGGUGGUUUUGACAGGUGAGUUUUAUCAAACAUUCAGGGAACAGGUUGUUUCAUUGAACAUGAAAAGAAGAAAAUACUUUUUGGUUAAUUAUUGAAAGAAGCAUAAUCCUUAUACAAGAAUCUGACAAGGCAAAAAAUUUUCUAGGUCAAUCUCACUUAUAUAGAAAAGAAAUAAAAUAGCAUAUUGAAUCUAGCAGUACCUUAAAAGAAUAAUAUUAUAACAGCAAAUAGAUGUAAAUCAACUGUAGUCCAAUUUUUUUUAAAAAGUGAUAAAUCAGGGUCGGAAAAAUACAUCCAGUGGAGAUAAAUAUGCAAGAUCCAUGUUCUGACAUCUUAAGUUUGGUUCUAAAGCUAUAAAGUUACAGAAAUUGAAGAGUUUAUCACAUGAAAAGUACACACAUUGCUCAGGAGAAGGGUGGCUAUUUCAGAUACAGAGACUUGAGAAGUUUCUCCUGUGGUUUCUUAGAAAGGGGACAGUGAGCAGUGCAAUGAACAUCAUUUAAAAUAACAUCCGGGCUUCCCUGUUUUGUAAGGCUAUUCUUAAUAACGUCCACCAAUGCAAAAGGAGUGCAAAAAAAAAAAGGCAGAUAAGAGUUUGUUUGGAGAUUGAAAGAAUGGUGCAAAACUAGGAAAUAUAUUACUAUAAUUCACCAUGGUAGCAGAUCAAAGAAAAAAAUUUUUAAUUUGAUAGAUGUCAAAAAGACUUGAUAAAAUUUUACCCUCAAUCCAGAUAUAACCAUUAAUAGGCUAGGUCUAGAAGAAUACUUCUUUAACAUGAUAGAGUGUUGAAACCUCAAGAUAGGGAUGCCUGGUAACCUUGCUGUUUUUCAGUAGUGUUCUUAAAACUCUGAUUGAUGUAGGUAUAAAGAUAAAGAAAUAUAGGUAAUUAAUACAGCAUUGUAAAUCAACUAUACUUCAAUAUAAACAGAAAAAGAAAAAAAUACUGGAGAGGAAGAAGUGUUUUUCAUUUUUUGCAGAUAACGUCUAUAUUAGUAGUUCUUCACUCCAUCAGACCUAGUUCUCCCUUUUUUGUAAUAAAUAUUUUGUAUUCCUCCUUUAUUAACCUGAAAUGAAAUUCAUAGAUAAUGUGUUUCAUUUUUUUUAAAAUGAUAUAAUGGCCUAGUUGUAAUGUAAAGGACAGUAAAUGUAAUUGAUAGUAAAAUCAAAUGUGUA